ensembl:lncRNA
UGCAAAACAAGUUGUAAACUCACUUUCACAAAACGAAUGAAGUUACGUGUUUGUUUGAAAAAGGAAAAAUGUUCCUGGCUUACCCAGCUUCCCCCAUAACUUGCAUCACAGCAGUGAUAACUUGCAAAUCAGCAGCAGUUUCACUGUUCCAAUUUAACAAAUGAAGCCUGAAUCUGACUGCUUCUUCCCAUCUCUUGUUCUAAUUUGCUGAAUAUCCCUCAUGGACAGAGGAGAGGUGCUCCAGUCCUCUGAGCAUCUACAUGUCCUCCAACAGCUGUACAUUUUUCAUGUGGGACAGACCCCAGACCUGGACAGAGAACACCAGAUGGGGCAUCAUGAUGGUAGAGCAAAGGGGGACAGUCACCUCUCCCUGCUGACCACCCCUCUGUUCGUGCAGCCCAGAAUACCGUUGGCCUUCCAGACUGCAAGCACACACAGCUGGCUCAUGUUCGCCUUUUCAUCCACCAGGACCCCCAAGAGCUUAUUUGUAGCACUGCUCAAGAGGAAUUCUUCUUCCACUCUGUACACAGAUCUGGGAUUUCUGUUCCCCAAGAGCAACAUCUUGCAUACCCAGAGAAGAAAAGCAGCAUGCACAAGGUCAAAGAAACCCCAUCUGUAUUUCUCCUUUCCUCCUAGGUCAUGUACCUUGGGGCCUUUGUCAUCUUGGUCGUCUUUGUCAUCCGGACGCUCCAAUAAGAUCCCUUCUGCACAAGUGAAUGGGGCCUACAGGCACUCACGAGUUUGGAGGGAAAAGUAGUUACUAGAAAAGAGCAAGACAAGGGGAAGAAAUGUACUUGCUGAGAAAGAGGCAUGAAGACAUUUCCCAAGCUGGCAAGCUCUGGAAGCUCAAAGUUCCGUUGAACCUGCAAGACCUCAUAAACUUGGACCCCAAUAAACAGUCAAAUCUACUGGGGGCAGCCAGUGCAUACUGGCAUCAUCAGUAGAAUAUGUGACCUGGACCACAGCCAAGGGGUUCUCUGCACACUGCUGCAUGCAGAGAAACAAGUGCAGAACUGUAUACACACCUGAUAAAACAAGGAUCACAGAAGACUUUUCCAAAGAGCUAUGUAGAACCCAGCACGACCCUCAGCCUGGGAGACUGCAGCUGAGGUCAGCCUCCCCACUGCUGCUCCAUUUGGGAAUGUGUGAGUCUGCUGCACGAGGGAAUAACUCAAUGUGGUGCCUGAAUACUUUUCUUCUGUUAAUAAUAACAGCUUAAUGAAUAAAAG